CAAUGGCUCUUUCAGAUGGUCCCUUGUGAAUGUGUCCUUAACUGUUAGGCCUCCAGGGGAGCACAUCCAACUCUGCUUCUUCCUCUUGUUCUUCCCAGGCAGCCAAAAAGGCAGCACUUCCACACCAGUGCUCUCUCACAUGUCCCAGAUCUUACCCUUAGGAAAUGCUCAUGCGUCCAUUCCCCAACAUGCAGCACAGCAGCCUUCUCCCAGAGCUUGUACCAGAGCAGCUGGGCGACCCUUCUCUGGCCUUUGGUUUCCCUGGAAGGAGGCAGUCCCUGGGCUACAGGCCAUUUUUGUUGGGAUUCAGACCUUUUUGUUUGUUGAUUCAGCCCUAAAUCAGACAUCAGUCAUCUAAAUCUCUCAAACACAGGGGACACAUUUCAAGUUCUUCAACUGUGUCAUGAAACCUCCCUCCAGCAGACUUCUGGUAAAACCAGAGGUCUGCAAACUUCUAUAAAGAUGAAUCCUCCAUUAUUGUAGUGCCAAAGCAGCCAUAGGCAAUGUUAUUUAAAUAUUGGGUGGGUGUCUUCAGUAGCAUUUUACUUAUGGACACUGAAAUUUGAGUUACAAUGAACUUUCAUUGGUCACAAAUUAUUUAUAAUUCCCCAGCACAUUUUACAUUUGACAAAUGUAAAAGCCAUUAUGAACUCAUGACUGUACCAAACCAAGCAGUAGACUAGAUCUGACUUGCAGAUUGUAGUUUCUUGACUCUGGGUUAGAUGGUAGAAUGCCUUCCCUUCCUCCAAAAACAAAAGAAAACCACAAACAAGAUGAAGAGUCGCACAAGAUGCAGGAACUCUCACCCAAAAAGCCUCUUUGUCAAUCUGUUCACACAGUCUCACUCUCCACACUCUGGCCUCUUUUGAUAACCUCAAAGGAUGGGCUGGGGGAGGAAUGGAGAGCAGUCUGUCAAGAGUACUAGAUCAGUUUAUUGGACAUGUUCUUUAAAAAUCUUCAUAUACACAUUUGUUUUACUUGCCUUGUUCUCUUGAAUCUGUCAUAUUGACAUCUCAAAUGAAACAGACAAAUGGAGGUCUUUUCUCAAAACUUGUUGCAGUAGUCAUUUCAGUCAUUCUCAUCAUUACUGCUCAGAAUCUACCAUGAAGAGGCAAAGAAAGAAAUACAUUUGGAUAAAAUAAGUGGUGGAAAUUGUUUUCUUAUAUUUCCGUGCUAAAGUUCUUGAUUCAUAUUGAUCAAGAGGAAGUACAUUUGUUCUGUUUACCUAGCUAGGCAUGUCUUCUCUGUUCUAGAAGUAAGUCUAAAGGGAAAGUCAGGGCAUCUUUUUUUUUCCUUUCAUCGAUUCAGUCAUUGUUAGGAAAGUUGGCUUUGAGGAAUGAUGGGCUAUCUUUCAUGUUGUGGUUUUGUCCACAGGAACAGAAUCUUGCACUAGCGUCAGUUGUCAUAACUAUUAAUAUUUAUGGCACCUAGGUAUUUCAAGAUAAUGUUGACUGACUUUUGCACAUUUUCAACAGUGAGUUGGUUUUAUGUUUAUUGAAGUAGCAAGUGUAUAUAUACUCCUAUGGAGGCCAUUUUUACCAUGCAGAUUGCUUCAACACCAAGCAUCUUUAAGCUUUGAUUGUGUUUUUAACUUUGGAGACUGUAGGAUUUACACUGAGGGAAGGGGAAACUCAAAGGGAAAAUGAUGAAGUCUGGGUUUUCUAAACCAACGUCCUUUUCCUUUUGAAAGUGUUACUCUGUUGUAAUAAAGUCAUAGUAUAGCAAAUGGAUAUUAAUGUGCAUCACAUCAAGAGAACAUUUUUACAUAAAUACUUGUCCUUUAGAGUUACAUAAGGUCUGCCUUCUAACAAGUUCAAAGUACUGAUGAAACAUGUCCUUAUUCAUUGGCUCCACAUCUCAGAGGAUCAGGAGGGUACAGAAAUAAUUUUUCUUUCGUUUUUCAGGUGACUAAAUUGAGGCCAAGAGAGAUUUUGGUGAAAAUAAGAACACACAACAGGUAAGAAAAGAUUCAAAUGUUACUUCACUUACAGACUACAAACUCUUACAUGGGUGAUGGUGAAUAUUCUUCAAAACAGAGCCAUAGAACAACUUCUCAUAUGUAAAUGUACUUAAUGCAAAGCAUUUUUAAGAAUCUUAUUAACAUUCCAAACCUGUGA
rnacentral:lncRNA from 1 species